UGGGGAAUUUUGCGCAAUGGGCGAAAGCCUGACGCAGCAACGCCGCGUGAGUGAUGAAGGCCUUCGGGUCGUAAAGCUCUGUCAGAGGGAAAGAAGUGUAUGGGGUCAAAUAAACUCUGUACUUGACGGUACCCUCAAAGGAAGCACCGGCUAACUCCGUGCCAGCAGCCGCGGUAAUACGGAGGGUGCGAGCGUUGUUCGGAAUUAUUGGGCGUAAAGCGCGUGUAGGCGGCUUCUUAAGUCUGAUGUGAAAGCCCCGGGCUCAACCUGGGAAGUGCAUUGGAAACUGGGGAACUUGAAUACGGGAGAGGGUAGUGGAAUUCCUGGUGUAGGAGUGAAAUCCGUAGAUAUCAGGAGGAACACCGGUGGCGAAGGCGGCUACCUGGACCGAUAUUGACGCUGAGACGCGAAAGCGUGGGGAGCAAACAGG
rnacentral:rRNA from 1 species